GGAGUCUCCAGGCAAGAAUGCUGGAGUGGGUGUCAUGCCCUCCUCCAACAGAUCUUCCUAACUCAGGGAUCACACUCAUGUCUCCCACAUUGUAAACGGAUUCUUUACGAUCUGAGCCACCAGGAAAGACGAAGAUUACUUGAGUGGGUAGCCUAUCUCUUCACCAGGCAAAGGUAAAAGGCAAAGGAAGCUAAAGGCAAAGGAGAAAAGGAAAGAUAUACCCACUUGAAUUCAGAGUUCCAAAGAAUAGGAAGGAAAGAUAAGAAAGCUUACAUCAGUGAUCAAGGCAAAGACACAGAAGAAAACAAAAGAAAGGGAAGGGCUAGAGAUCCCUUCAAGACAAUUAGAGAUACCAAGGGAAUAUUUCAGGCAAAAGAUGGGCACAAUAAAAGACAGAAAUGGUAAAGACCUAAUAGAAGCAGAAGAUAUUAAGAAAAAUGGCAAGAAUACACGGAAGAACUAUACAAAAAUUAAUAAAUAAAUAAAAUCUUCAUGACCCAGAUAAUCACAAUGGUGUGGUCAUUCACUGAGAGCCUGACAUUCUGGAAUGUGAAGUCAAGUGGGCCUUAGGAAACAUGGCUACAAAAAAAGUUAGUGGAGAUGAUGGAAUACCAGUUAAGCUAUUUCAAAUCCGUGCUGAACUCAAAAUGCCAGCACAUUUGGAACAUGCUACAGUGGCGACAGGACCAGAAAAGAUCAGUUUUCAUUCUAUUUCCAAAGAAAGGCAAUGCCCAAAAAUGUUCAAACUGCUGCAAAAUUGCAGUCAUCUCACAAGCUAGCAAAGUAAUGCUCAAAAUUCUCCACCCAGGCUUCAACAGUAUGUGAACCAUGAACUUCCAGUUGUUCAAGGUGGAUUUAGUAAAGACAGAGGAACCAGAGGUCAAAUUCACAACUUGUGUUCGGUCAUCAAACAAGCAAAAGAAUUACAGAAGAACAUUUAUUUCUACUUCAUUGACUAUGCCAAAGCCAUUGACUGUGUGGAUCACAAUAAACUGUAGAAAAUUCUUCAAGAGAAGGGAACACAAGAUGAUGUUACCUGCCACCUGAGAAAUCUGUACCCAGGUCAAGAAGCAGUAGUUAAAA
ensembl:lncRNA